AACGAACGCUGGCGGCAUGCCUAACACAUGCAAGUCGAACGAGACCUUCGGGUCUAGUGGCGCACGGGUGCGUAACGCGUGGGAACCUGCCCUUAGGUUCGGAAUAACUCCCCGAAAGGGGUGCUAAUACCGGAUAAUGUCUUCGGACCAAAGAUUUAUCGCCUUUGGAUGGGCCCGCGUUGGAUUAGCUAGUUGGUAGGGUAAAAGCCUACCAAGGCGACGAUCCAUAGCUGGUCUGAGAGGAUGAUCAGCCACACUGGGACUGAGACACGGCCCAGACUCCUACGGGAAGCAGCAGUGGGGAAUAUUGGAAAAUGGGCGAAAGCCUGAUCCAGCAAUGCCGCGUGAGUGAUGAAGGCCUUAGGGUUGUAAAGCUCUUUUACCCGGGAUGAUAAUGACAGUACCGGGAGAAUAAGCGCCGGCUAACUCCGUG
rnacentral:rRNA from 1 species